AGCAUACAAAAGCCUUCAGGCACAUAAAUAUUUUACAGCUGGAUUUGUUUUGAAUGGAGUAAAAAUUGUUAAUGAUUUCCUGAUUUCCAUAUUAUUGUUGGAAAGGUGAAGCAUUUCCAAAAAGCUAAUGCUAAACGACUAAAUGCUUGGGUGGGGUGAUAGCCAGUUCUGAUGACAUAGCAAAUGCACAUUGUAUGCAUAUGGCCGGUAAUAGUGAAGUCUGCAGCCAUAUUGCAGCAAUCCUAUUUUUAGCUGAGUAUGCCCAGGGCAAGACAGACGAAGAAGAACCCAA